rnacentral:rRNA from 1 species
ACAAGCGGUGGAGCAUGUGGUUUAAUUCGAAGCAACGCGAAGAACCUUACCAGGUCUUGACAUCCCCUGACAACCGAGAGAUCGGGCGUUCCCCUUCGGGGGACAGGGUGACAGGUGGUGCAUGGUUGUCGUCAGCUCGUGUCGUGAGAUGUUGGGUUAAGUCCCGCAACGAGCGCAACCCUCGACCUUAGUUGCCAGCAUUCAGUUGGGCACUCUAAGGUGACUGCCGGCUAAAAGUCGGAGGAAGGUGGGGAUGACGUCAAAUCAUCAUGCCCCUUAUGACCUGGGCUACACACGUGCUACAAUGGCCGGUACAAAGGGGCGCAAGACCGCGAGGUGGAGCAAAUCCCAAAAAACCGGUCUCAGUUCGGAUUGGAGUCUGCAACUCGACUCCAUGAAGUUGGAAUCGCUAGUAAUCGCGUAUCAGCAUGACGCGGUGAAUACGUUCCCGGGCCUU